UCGGUCUCUAUCUGUUGUGGGCGCAGGAAAUUUGCGAGGACCCGACACUAGUACGAGAGGACCGUGUUGGACAGACCUCCGGUGUGCCGGUUGUUCCGCCAGGAGCACCGCCGGGUAGCCGCGUCUGGCAAGGAUAAGUGCUGAAAGCAUCUAAGCACGAAGCCCCCCUCAAGAUAAGAUUUCCACAUAGGGUCGUCAAAGACGAUGACGUCGAUAGGUCGCAGGUGCAGAGGCGGUAACGUCUACAGCCGAGCGAUACUAAUCACCCGAACCCUUUCCGGG
rnacentral:rRNA from 1 species